UACGGAGGGUGCAAGCGUUAUCCGGAUUCACUGGGUUUAAAGGGUGCGCAGGUGGGCUGGUAAGUCAGUGGUGAAAUCUCCAGGCUUAACUUGGAAACUGCCAUUGAUACUAUCAGUCUUGAAUACCGUGGAGGUCAGCGGAAUAUGUCAUGUAGCGGUGAAAUGCGUAGAGAUCGGGAGGAACACCAGUGGCGAAGGCGGCCGGCUGGGGGUGACCUGACGCUGAGGCGCGAAAGCGUGGGGAGCGAACCGG
rnacentral:rRNA from 1 species